UAUGUUUUAGUAUAUGAUGUACAAAAGUUUUUGAUACUUUAAGAGAUGGUUUAAUCCCAUUAAAUAUAA
rnacentral:tRNA from 1 species